rnacentral:rRNA from 1 species
UACGAAGGGGGCUAGCGUUGCUCGGAAUGACUGGGCGUAAAGGGCGCGUAGGCGGAUGGCUUUGUCGGGCGUGAAAUUCCAGGGCUUAACCUUGGGGCUGCGUUCGAGACGGGUUGUCUUGAGUGGGGAAGAGGGUCGUGGAAUUCCCAGUGUAGAGGUGAAAUUCGUAGAUAUUGGGAAGAACACCGGUGGCGAAGGCGGCGACCUGGUCCUUUACUGACGCUGAGGAGCGAAAGCGUGGGGAGCGAACAGG